rnacentral:sRNA from 1 species
GUAAUAUAUGUAAAUUUUAUGUCCAUUUACAGGUUUAGUUACCGGCCAAACAUCUUCUCGUCAGUCAUCUGAGGAUCACAUCCACGACCUGAUUCGACAAGCAAAAGCUAAAUGUGGCGAUUGUCAAGAUGCAGCAGACAAAGUCCUGGCCAGACCCGAUAAGUCUGAUAUGUGCGAUGCUGUAGACUUAUAUCUACCAGGA